CGUAGGGUGCAAGCGUUAAUCGGAAUUACUGGGUGUAAAGCGUGCGCAGGCGGUUAUGCAAGACAGAGGUGAAAUCCCCGGGCUCAACCUGGGAACUGCCUUUGUGACUGCAUAGCUAGAGUACGGUAGAGGGGGAUGGAAUUCCGCGUGUAGCAGUGAAAUGCGUAGAUAUGCGGAGGAACACCGAUGGCGAAGGCAAUCCCCUGGACCUGUACUGACGCUCAUGCACGAAAGCGUGGGGAGCAAACAGGAUUAGAUACCCUGGUAGUCCACGCCCUAAACGAUGUCAACUGGUUGUUGGGAGGGUUUCUUCUCAGUAACGUAGCUAACGCGUGAAGUUGACCGCCUGGGGAGUACGGCCGCAAGGUUG
rnacentral:rRNA from 1 species